CCCUUAGAUGUUCUGGGCCGCACGCGCGCUACACUGACGAAUGCAACGAGCUUAUAACCUUGGCCGAAAGGUCUGGGUAAUCUCCAAAUUUCGUCGUGAUGGGGAUAGAUUAUUGCAAUUAUUAAUCUUCAACGAGGAAUGCCUAGUAAGCGCAAGUCAUCAGCUUGCGUUGAUUACGUCCCUGCCCUUUGUACACACCGCCCGUCGCUCCUACCGAUUGAAUGGUCCGGUGAAGCGUUCGGACCGUGGCCUUUGGACGGUUCGCCGUCUGUUGGCUGCGGGAAGUUCGUUAAACCUUAUCAUUUAGAGGAAGGAGAANCCGUAACA
rnacentral:rRNA from 1 species